AUAAAAUCACCAAAUCUUAGAAGUAUAUGGCAUGUUUUGAUCAC
rnacentral:sRNA from 1 species